rnacentral:lncRNA from 1 species
GCGAAUGGAUUGACGCGUAGCGGAGCUACUGCAAGUGUAUUUGAAUCUCUUCGCCGAAUAUGGGACAAUCAAGAUCGAACUUCACUUGGAGCUGCGGCUACGCCUUAAAUCGGUUAUUGGUCGCUGGGCGCUGCCUAUACGCUGCCGGCUGCGUUUCCUCUAGUGCCGAGGACAGUACGAGGAACCUGACACCGCGCAACUCCUGUACACAUCGCCGUGCUCCGAAGGCCGCCUAACAUCUUCAGCCUAAAUCACAAGGAGAGUAUUGCGCUGGGGAGUAGAAACAGACAGGCCGUACACCCACCGACUUAUUAUGUUCCGCUACUGAGGUAGUUGUGGUAUUCGAAUAAUAACUGUUGGACAUACUGUUGUUUUUAUUUAACUAAGAAACCCAGCAGUAGCGGUUCAAUAUCAUAUAUAGUCACUAUACAGGGUCUUUAUUUUCUGCCGAUGGACUGUACAUAGACCUCUUGAAAUUAUAAUUGAUAUAUGUUCAUAAAAAA